UAGUCCACGCCGUAAACGAUGGACACUAGUUGUUGGAAUUAUUCAGUGACUAAGCGAAAGUGAUAAGUGUCCCACCUGGGGAGUACGAUCGCAAGAUUGAAACUCAAAGGAAUUGACGGGGGCCCGCACAAGCGGUGGAGCAUGUGGUUUAAUUCGAUGAUACGCGAGGAACCUUACCAGGGCUUAAAUGUAGUCUGACAGCUUUAGAGAUAGAGUUUUCUUCGGACAGAUUACAAGGUGCUGCAUGGUUGUCGUCAGCUCGUGCCGUGAGGUGUCAGGUUAAGUCCUAUAACGAGCGCAACCCUUGUCGUUAGUUGCCAGCAUGUAAAGAUGGGGACUCUAGCGAGACUGCCGGUGCAAACCGAGAGGAAGGUGGGGAUGACGUCAAAUCAUCACGGCCCUUACGUCCUGGGCCACACACGUGCUACAAUGGUAUGGACAAUGAGCAGCCACCCCGCGAGGGGAUGCGAAUCUUCAAAGCCUGUCUCAGUUCGG
rnacentral:rRNA from 1 species